GGCCUGCAACUCUAAACUUUUACAAAUAUUGACUAGUGGUACUGUGGUAGUAUUUUUAGUAUUUGUAAUAUUUCAAAUCGAAGCAACAACGAUUGACCUGGUUGCUAUGUUGCUAUAAGUUGCCAUGAGCUGUCAAACCGUCAGUUUGUUGUGCCCAAACGAGUGAUGUGAAUUUUCGAAUCGGACCUUGGAUUGGAAGUCUUGUGUUACGCGUUGUGCAAAUGAAAUUUUACAAUUGUUAUUACUAUAAUUACCCCAACGAUCAACGCUAAAAGUGAUAAGAAGACGCUUGCAAGCUAAGAGGAUAUUUCGGGUAUGAGACAUCCAGAGAUUAUUUUCGAAGUGUUGAAUAUGGCUGAAAGAAGAGCAACUUAACACCGUACUGUUAUCAUAUAGUUGAUUAAAUAAAGCCUUAAUUGAUCA